rfam:Ictidomys tridecemlineatus contig093551, whole genome shotgun sequence.
UGGGUUGUAGCUUAGAGGUAGAGUGCUCAUCUAGUAUGCGUGAGGCACUGGGUUCAAUCCUCAGCAUCACAU